rnacentral:rRNA from 1 species
AUUGAACGCUGGCGGCAGGCCUAACACAUGCAAGUCGAACGAGUGGCGGACGGGUGAGUACUGUCUGGGAAACUGCCUGAAGGAGGGGGCUAACUACUGGAAACGGUAGCUAAUACCGCAUACCAUCAGAUGUGCGCAGAUGGGAUUAGCUAGUUGGGGGGGUAACGGAUCACCAAGGCGACGAUCCCUAGCUGGUCUGAGAGGAUGACCAGCCACACUGGAACGGAGACACGGGCCAGACUCCGACGGGAGGCAGCAGUGGUUAAUAUUGCAGAAUGGGCGCAAGCCUGAUGCAGCCAUGCCGGGUGUAUGAAGAAGGCCGUCGGGUUGUAAAGGACUUUCAGCGGGGAGGCGUUACCCGCAGAAGAAGCACCGGCUAACUCCGUGCCAGCCGCCGCGUAAUAC